rnacentral:rRNA from 1 species
CGGACGGGUGAGUAACACGUGGAUAACCUACCUAUAAGACUGGGAUAACUUCGGGAAACCGGAGCUAAUACCGGAUAAUAUAUUGAACCGCAUGGUUCAAUAGUGAAAGACGGUUUUGCUGUCACUUAUAGAUGGAUCCGCGCCGCAUUAGCUAGUUGGUAAGGUAACGGCUUACCAAGGCAACGAUGCGUAGCCGACCUGAGAGGGUGAUCGGCCACACUGGAACUGAGACACGGUCCAGACUCCUACGGGAGGCAGCAGAG